GGGAGAUGUUGCGUAUGCUCAACAUUGAUGAAGGUUUUUUUUUCGUUCGUUUGGUUAUUUUAUUCGGCGAUCGAGCGAGAGCGGGAGCUCAUUUUGGGUGCGGGCGAGCGAGAUGGGCCGAUACCGAGAGGGUAGAGAGGUAUGGCUGGGUGGUUGGGAAUCGCACGAAUGCACGGUGAAGCGGUGCCAGAGGAGCGCAGUAGCAUCGGUCGCAGCAGCAACAGCAGCAGCAGCGGCAGCAGCAACAAGAAGCAUUCGGCAACAACGCACUCACCAACACAGCUGCAGCGCAAGGGUUUACCCACACAAGCAAAACAUUCAAGAAGGCAGGAGGGUAAAUGGGGGGGGUGAGGAGGGGAGCACGCACACACAACUUCCUAGGCAACCAACACAGUGACACAGUGGGCGCGCACACAGAGGUUUGUUGUGUGUGCCGGUCCACCGAAACCACUAACGGGGGGAGUUUUGCCGAAAAUGAAAGAAAAAAAAAACGCACCACCAGACUUGUACCACUCGUCGGCCGUUCGGCUUUUGUUCGGCUGAGGCUUUUUUCGAGGGUGCUCGCGAGCGCGUCGAGCAGUAUCGUCAUCAAACAACAAACUAACACCGCACCGAAAACCGCGGAGACACGGGCCAGCGCGAGCGUGCGAGAGCGUGCAGCAGCAAAAUUAUUUCGGCAACAUUUUUUGGGCACCGUAAGUCCCGGGGUUUACGGCAGUUUCUUACGAUAGGCGCAAUUUAACAACAGCAGUGAUAUACGAGUGAAUAUUUCGGUGGAAUCGUAAAGAAAUAUUAUUAUUAUAAAAAAUUAUCUGAAUCGAAAAAAAAAACAAGUGACACCGGGAAUGAAAUAGUUACAACGUACACCACUCACAAGUGCAAAAAUUCGGAGGCGAUUUGAGGCACAGUUUUUACAGUAUACCGAAAAUACCGCAAAUCCAUCGGAAAAAAGGAUUAAAUCUGUGAAGGCAGGCAGCGAACUGCUUCCACUCGUUUGCCGGCCAAAGGUGUGUUUUUAUACCUUCUGCUGUGCAGCAAGCUAGGCGAAAGCGCAUCAUCAUCACUUCCGGCACCGGCACCGGCACAGCCAGCGAAGGAUACUAGUGUGUAUCCGUUCCGUUCCGUGGGAGCGCAAAUGUUCCGAAGCGAAAAGUAGCAUUGGUCCUGCACUGGAAGCAAGUGUACUGUAAUGUAUUGUAUGUGCUUGGCGGGUAUCGAAGCAGUGUGUAGCGUGAAACAAUAGGAUGAGUUUUUGCAUGUUGCAAACAGUGAGAGUAACAGAGAGCAAACCCGAGAGCGAGUGACGGUGAUUGAAGAGGAAAAAACGGGAAAAAUCUUCCCAACACACUCACGCGGCGAGAGCGGCGAAUCCUUCGGUGAGCGUCGUAACAAGGUGCCCCGGGAAGAUAAGUAGACGCUUUCGGUUCGUGUGCAUAAAAAUCGAAACGGUUGCAGGUGGGCAACACCACCCCGGUUGGGCGUAAGCGAGAGAAGCAGCUUUCUCUUGCACCGGCCCCUGCGAAGAACACGAUUCUGCAUCUGCAUCAGCGAGUGCAACGGUGUGUGCGGUGUGCAAUGCAGUAGAAUACUGGAGUGCGCUUGCUGCAGGUUGUUGCAUAGAUUGCAUAGUGUGUGUGUGUGUGCAGUUCGGUGCAGUGCAGUGACUCAGUGACUCAUCUUGGGCUGGCCCGGAAAGCAGCCAUUAGAUCAGUGCCGAAAAGCAGUGACACCAAAUUGGCCCCGAUGCGGUACAGUGAUGGUGGAUUAGUGCAUACGCCCGUACGUGGCGGGAACGGCUGCGAAGCAACGCAUCGGGCCGACGCGUGUGCGUGAGUGUGUGCCGGUUUGGGCCAGUAAAGAAGCAAGCACACAGCUAUGUGAGACGUGUUUCGUGCAUUUACAACUGCAGCAAAAUUCAAUUAUAAUUCCAGUUUUCGGUCGUAUUAAUCUGUGUUUUUCUAACAAAAA